AAACUUCCUUUGAGUAUUAACUAGGCAAACUCUUAACCUCCUUGAGGAAUUUGCUAGGCUGCUUCACCCAUCUGGCCAUCUCCCUAUAAAAACCCAACAUCCAGCAUUUAAUAAUCUCCCAUUCUUUUUUUUUUUCCCUUCUUGUGCAUAUGUUGUUUGUGUUUGUUUCUUAUCUAACAUGACCAAUAUACCCACCUCUCUCACAGACUCUUCCCUUGCCCUCUUCUCUCUCGCCAUUUCUGCAUCUGAUCCCUGGCCUUUCUCUCUUCUUCUCUAACCUUGUGUUCUCUCUUUCUUGAUUUUUGAUUUCCUUGUUCCUUGAUUUUUUUCUUGUUUUCUUGAUAUGGGGAUCAGUGGAGAUAGAAACCAUCAUCACUUGAAUUUCCAUGUCCAUUUGCCCCAUCUUCACUUUCAUCACCAAGGCAGCAGCAAGAAAGAGUUGAAAGAUAUCCCAAAAGGGUGCUUGGCGAUCUUGGUGGG
rnacentral:misc_RNA from 1 species